rnacentral:rRNA from 1 species
AAUUCGAUUAGAGUUUGAUCCUGGCUCAGAUUGAACGCUGGCGGCAGGCUUAACACAUGCAAGUCGAGCGGUAGCACAGGGAAGCUUGCUCCCCGGGUGACGAGCGGCGGACGGGUGAGUAAUGUCUGGGAAACUGCCUGAUGGAGGGGGAUAACUACUGGAAACGGUAGCUAAUACCGCAUAACGUCGCAAGACCAAAGAGGGGGACCUUCGGGCCUCUUGCCAUCAGAUGUGCCCAGAUGGGAUUAGCUAGUAGGUGGGGUAAUGGCUCACCUAGGCGACGAUCCCUAGCUGGUCUGAGAGGAUGACCAGCCACACUGGAACUGAGACACGGUCCAGACUCCUACGGGAGGCAGCAGUGGGGAAUAUUGCACAAUGGGCGCAAGCCUGAUGCAGCCGUGCCGCGUGUGUGAAGAAGGCCUUCGGGUUGUAAAGCACUUUCAGCGAGGAGGAAGGUGGUGAACUUAAUACGUUCAUCAAUUGACGUUACUCGCAGAAGAAGCACCGGCUAACUCCGUGCCAGCAGCCGCGGUAAUACGGAGGGUGCAAGCGUUAAUCGGAAUUACUGGGCGUAAAGCGCACGCAGGCGGUUUGUUAAGUCAGAUGUGAAAUCCCCGGGCUCAACCUGGGAACUGCAUUUGAAACUGGCAGGCUAGAGUCUCGUAGAGGGGGGUAGAAUUCCAGGUGUAGCGGUGAAAUGCGUAGAGAUCUGGAGGAAUACCGGUGGCGAAGGCGGCCCCCUGGACGAAGACUGACGCUCAGGUGCGAAAGCGUGNGGAGCAAACAGGAUUAGAUACCCUGGUAGUCCACGCUGUA